GACGAACGCUGGCGGCGUGCUUAACACAUGCAAGUCGAACGAUGAACCACUUCGGUGGGGAUUAGUGGCGAACGGGUGAGUAACACGUGGGCAAUCUGCCCUUCACUCUGGGACAAGCCCUGGAAACGGGGUCUAAUACCGGAUACCACUACCGCAGGCAUCUGUGGUGGUUGAAAGCUCCGGCGGUGAAGGAUGAGCCCGCGGCCUAUCAGCUUGUUGGUGAGGUAAUGGCUCACCAAGGCGACGACGGGUAGCCGGCCUGAGAGGGCGACCGGCCACACUGGGACUGAGACACGGCCCAGACUCCUACGGGAGGCAGCAGUGGGGAAUAUUGCACAAUGGGCGAAAGCCUGAUGCAGCGACGCCGCGUGAGGGAUGACGGCCUUCGGGUUGUAAACCUCUUUCAGCAGGGAAGAAGCGAAAGUGACGGUACCUGCAGAAGAAGCGCCGGCUAACUACGUGC
rnacentral:rRNA from 1 species